rnacentral:lncRNA from 1 species
UAAAUAAGAACUCAUGAAAUAUUCUAGUAAUGCUUUUGUAUAUUCUUUUAAGUCCGACAAUCAUAAAUUCUUUAUUGAAUGGUGUGCGUGGAUUUGGACAAUCACGACCAGUUUUACAUGAAAUUGCAACUGUAAUGUAAAAAAAAUGUUAUAUAUUAAAAUGGAAUAAAUAUUGUGUAAGAAGGAAAUUUGUAAUGGAGAUAAAAACACUUUACCACGUGCAAUUUUUGUUGAAUCAUGAAACAAGGAAAGAAUGAUUAUCAUAAUAUUAACAAACUUGAAAAUUUUAUCCAUAUUUUCCAAUUUUUGCAUGUAUUAAAUAGAAUAUUAUUUUAUCACUUUUUGAUUCAUAAAUUAAAGCUCAUUUUCUUCGUACAUCAACUACAUAGUUUUUAGUACUUACAUAUAGUUGUAAAAAGACUUCUAAUUUUUAAAUAAUUAUUAAAUGUCUCUUAAGCACAACAAUGUGUUAAUUUGCUCCUUUAGCACCUUAUGUAAAGAGGUCGAGUAAAAAUUUACAAAUCAAAAUAAUUCAUUCUCAAGGUACGUGAAAUUAGAAAAGCUAAAAGAAAAUUCACUUAAUGAGGGAUCACAAUAACAAAAUAAGAACUCAAGGAAAAUUCACGUAGUGCAUUUGUGUAUUCUUUUGGGUUUGAAAAUCAUAUAAUCUUUGGAGCUUUAUAAUUAGCCUAUACACAAUCAGUGGCGGAACUGGAAAAUAAUUCUUGGGUGGGCCGCAAAAAAUUAUAAUAUUUAAAUUAAAUAUAAAAAUUAUAUUUCAUACAAAAAUUUAAUUUAGAAUAAAUAUAAAUUUUACUAUAAAAUUAAA